rnacentral:tRNA from 1 species
GGGUAUGGCUCAGUGGUAGAGCCCAUGCUUAGCAUGCAUGGGUCCUGGGUUCAAUCCCCAGUCCCUCCA